rnacentral:lncRNA from 1 species
GUGAAAUAACAUUAUUCAUAGCCCUACAGAAAAUAUUAUAGGAUAGAAAAUGUCAAUAUCUUCUGAUAUGUUGAUGUUGCUUUGGAAUUUAGCCUAAAUUCAAUUUGUAGCUAUGUAUUUUUUCGGCAAAAUGUUCAAUAUACUUGACCAGUGGAUUAGCCUAUAUAGUUUAACCUGUUAUUGAUGUUGAAAUAAACCUGUAAUAACGGUUUCCUACCGUUUAUAAUGGUAAUUGCAUCAUGUUCCUCAGGUGUAAAAGUCUGGAUGGAAAGAGAUGCCUCGCGGUGACUUCAACGUUUAUUUUGCAAGCAGAGGAGGACAGCAUGUCAGGGCCGAAGAGGCAGCUGGCAUAGCUCUGUUGGUUGUAAUUCUCGCAGCCCUUCUCAUCGUCGGAUGCUGGUAUUUCAAGAGGAGAAGCGGGUACAAAAUGAUCAGGAGCCCAAGAUCAGGGUCCCCGCCAGGAUUCAGUGGAGGACAGUUCAGCCAGCGAAGAGCUGCAGCAGAAAACAAGAUGGGCCUCAGUGAGCUCCGACCUGUGGUAAGAGACUCGGACUGGAUGUACUGGGCUUGUCAAUGGUCAGAACUUACUUUUUUUAUUUUAAUAGUAUUUGAUGUUUUAUUGAAUGGAGUUGUCCUCUAUUGCUGCGUUUACACAGGCAGGCCAAUUCAGAUAUUUGUUCCACUAAUUGGGAAAAAGAUCAGAAUUGGGCUUCCUGUGUAA